UAGUCUCUUAAAUGGUGACUUGUAUGAAAGAUUGGAUGAAAUAUAAGCUGUCUCUUAAUUAUAUAUAGAAUUUAAUUUUUUAAUUAAAAAGUUAAAAUAAUUUUAAAAGACGAGAAGACCCUAUAGAGUUUUAUAAUUUAAUUAAUAUUAUUUAUAAAUAUAUAAUAAAUUAAAAUUAAUAAAAAUUAUUUUAUUGGGGUGAUAAAAAAAUUUAAUUAACUUUUUUUAAAUUUAAACAUAAAUAAAUGAAGUUUUUGAUCCAUUAAUAAUGAUUAAAAGAAAAAAUUACCUUAGGGAUAACAGCGUAA
rnacentral:rRNA from 1 species